UUCGCGGUAGCUCAGAUGUAGAGCCCCAACCAGUAAUUGGUACGUCGCUGGUUCGAUUCCCGUUCGCGGAG
rfam:Anisakis simplex genome assembly, scaffold: ASIM_contig0001661